AAAUUGAAGAGUUUGAUCAUGGCUCAGAUUGAACGCUGGCGGCAGGCCUAACACAUGCAAGUCGAGCGGUAGCACAGAGAGCUUGCUCUCGGGUGACGAGCGGCGGACGGGUGAGUAAUGUCUGGGAAACUGCCUGAUGGAGGGGGAUAACUACUGGAAACGGUAGCUAAUACCGCAUAAUGUCGCAAGACCAAAGUGGGGGACCUUCGGGCCUCAUGCCAUCAGAUGUGCCCAGAUGGGAUUAGCUAGUAGGUGGGGUAACGGCUCACCUAGGCGACGAUCCCUAGCUGGUCUGAGAGGAUGACCAGCCACACUGGAACUGAGACACGGUCCAGACUCCUACGGGAGGCAGCAGUGGGGAAUAUUGCACAAUGGGCGCAAGCCUGAUGCAGCCAUGCCGCGUGUGUGAAGAAGGCCUUCGGGUUGUAAAGCACUUUCAGCGGGGAGGAAGGCGGUGAGGUUAAUAACCUCAUCGAUUGACGUUACCCGCAGAAGAAGCACCGGCUAACUCCGUGCCAGCAGCCGCGGUAAUACGGAGGGUGCAAGCGUUAAUCGGAAUUACUGGGCGUAAAGCGCACGCAGGCGGUCUGUCAAGUCGGAUGUGAAAUCCCCGGGCUCAACCUGGGAACUGCAUUCGAAACUGGCAGGCUAGAGUCUUGUAGAGGGGGUAGAAUUCCAGGUGUAGCGGUGAAAUGCGUAGAGAUCUGGAGGAAUACCGGUGGCGAAGGCGGCCCCCUGGACAAAGACUGACGCUCAGGUGCGAAAGCGUGGGGAGCAAACAGGAUUAGAUACCCUGGUAGUCCACGCCGUAAACGAUGUCGAUUUGGAGGUUGUGCCCUUGAGGCGUGGCUUCCGGAGCUAACGCGUUAAAUCGACCGCCUGGGGAGUACGGCCGCAAGGUUAAAACUCAAAUGAAUUGACGGGGCCCGCACAAGCGGUGGAGCAUGUGGUUUAAUUCGAUGCAACGCGAAGAACCUUACCUGGUCUUGACAUCCACAGAACUUUCCAGAGAUGGAUUGGUGCCUUCGGGAACUGUGAGACAGGUGCUGCAUGGCUGUCGUCAGCUCGUGUUGUGAAAUGUUGGGUUAAGUCCCGCAACGAGCGCAACCCUUAUCCUUUGUUGCCAGCGGUUAGGCCGGGAACUCAAAGGAGACUGCCAGUGAUAAACUGGAGGAAGGUGGGGAUGACGUCAAGUCAUCAUGGCCCUUACGACCAGGGCUACACACGUGCUACAAUGGCAUAUACAAAGAGAAGCGACCUCGCGAGAGCAAGCGGACCUCAUAAAGUAUGUCGUAGUCCGGAUUGGAGUCUGCAACUCGACUCCAUGAAGUCGGAAUCGCUAGUAAUCGUAGAUCAGAAUGCUACGGUGAAUACGUUCCCGGGCCUUGUACACACCGCCCGUCACACCAUGGGAGUGGGUUGCAAAAGAAGUAGGUAGCUUAACCUUCGGGAGGGCGCUUACCACUUUGUGAUUCAUGACUGGGGUGAAGUCGUAACAAGGUAACCGUAGGGGAACCUGCGGUUGGAUCACCUCCUUACCUUAAAGAA
rnacentral:rRNA from 1 species